AGUCCCAUAUUAAGCAAUCCCGCAUUUUCUCACUCGAAAUGCCUGCCAAAAAUUCACAAAAGCUGCUUUUGUGUGCGCUUUAUAGCAGAACAUACUAAAAUGCAAGAGGAUUCGACAAAAUUCCACCAUUCGUCACGGAUCGAAAUCAUCACUCAGUCGACAACGACGAAGGCAGUGCCGAAAGCACUUUUAAAAUGACAUUUAAAUAUAUAAUAUAUAUAUUGUUGAACACUUUUAGAUACCUUAAAUUACAUUUAAAGUCAUUUUAAAACCCAAGUGAUUUGAGUGGUAUCACACAAUUGCAUACCACAAAUCCAUUACGAUUGAAGUAAUAUUGGUCACGAUAUUAAAAGCUUGGGUUGCAUAUUUUUUAUUAUACGUUCUCAUAAAACUAAAAUAGUAAUAUAAACAUACACAAGGACAGCGUUGAAAGAGUUCUGAAACAAUAUGCUUAUAAUAUAUGAAAGCUAAGUAAAGGAGUAAUACCUACGAAGAGAAAAGAAGAAUUAACAUGUAACGUUUUAUGGGAAAAAAUUGAGACUAGGCACUCAGGCCAGAUUUCUCGAUUUAUUUUUUAUUUGCUAGAAGAAGUAUUAGAAUUAUUUACUUGUCCCCAUGCUUCCGCAGGUAGCUAGCAUAAAAUUGUUGAGGCUGAGUCUAAAACCUAAAGUAUUGCCCUCACCAGAGCAAUACAUUUUCUUCCUUUUCUUUUUAAAACAGACAUUUUUGUUGUUGUUUGUCAAUACAUGUUUGUAAAGCGUUUUGUUGACUUUUUUGUUUUUAGUCUUAUCGGAAUGAACUAAAUUUAAGAUUUGAAUGGUUUUGAAUUAUUUAGCUGGGCCGAAAAAUCCAAAAACGCAACAAAAAAACAAAUUGGUUUUACCUAGUUCAAACAAAGUGUUUUCAUUAAGUUAAGUCAAGUUGUUUUUAUCAUUUAUCAUUUUUUUCAUUUGUUGUAAAAGUCAUCUAGAUAUCUCAUACUAGAUAUCUCUCCCAAAGUCAGGAUAUUAAGAAUACGUGCUAUCUUACCUUUUUUAUGAACGCUUUUUACAGUUUUUAGUAAUUUGUGCAUAGUUUCUUUACGCGUGUUGCCAAUUAUAAAACACGUCCUAAAAAAAAUAUGUCAACAUUGUAACUUUAGCGUGAAAACAUGUGAAAUAGAAAGUUAACAUUUUAGAAUAUAGGAAUACCACUAUUGAAAUUAAUAAGAAUGUAUGAAUUUGUUAAAAAAAUAAAGUUGAUUCAUAAAAAGCAAAA